GAAAUGCGAUAAGUAAUGUGAAUUGCAGAAUUCAGUGAAUCAUCGAAUCUUUGAACGCACCUUGCGCUCCUUGGUAUUCCUUGGAGCAUGCCUGUUUGAGUAUCAUGAAAUCUUCAAAGUAAAUCUUUUGUUAACUCAAUUGGUUUCUACUUUGGUAUUGGAGGUCUUUGCAGCUUCACACCUGCUCCUCUUUGUUCAUUAGCUGGAUCUCAGUGUUAUGCUUGGUUCCACUCGGCGUGAUAAGUUAUCUAUCGCUGAGGACACUGUAAAAGGUGGCCAAGGUAAAUGCAGAUGAACCGCUUCUAAUAGUCCAUUGACUAGGACAAUACUUUUAUGAUCUGAUCUCAAAUCAGGUAGGACUACCCGCUGAACUUAAGC
rnacentral:misc_RNA from 1 species